CCUACGGGCGGCUGCAGUGGGGAAUAUUAGACAAUGGGCGAAAGCCUGAUCCAGCCAUGCCGCGUGUGUGAAGAAGGCCUUCGGGUUGUAAAGCACUUUCAGUGGGGAAGAAAGCCUUGGGGCUAAUACCCUCGAGGAAGGACAUCACCCACAGAAGAAGCACCGGCUAACUCCGUGCCAGCAGCCGCGGUAAUACGGAGGGUGCGAGCGUUAAUCGGAAUUACUGGGCGUAAAGCGCGCGUAGGCGGUCUGAUAAGCCGGUUGUGAAAGCCCCGGGCUCAACCUGGGAACGGCAUCCGGAACUGUCAGGCUAGAGUGCAGGAGAGGAAGGUAGAAUUCCCGGUGUAGCGGUGAAAUGCGUAGAGAUCGGGAGGAAUACCAGUGGCGAAGGCGGCCUUCUGGACUGACACUGACGCUGAGGUGCGAAAGCGUGGGUAGCAAACAGGAUUAGAUACCCCGGUAGUC
rnacentral:rRNA from 1 species